ACGUUAACAUUUACUUUAUUAGCUUAUACAUGACAUUGAUUUCCAAAAUAAAGUUUCUUUAUAUACCGAAAUCCUAAGGUUGAUAGUGUGAUGUGUCUCCGACCAAAUCCGACCUCCGAGCUCUUAACACUACAAAACAGGGAAAGAGGAAACAGGGUAAGCAUUUUGUGCUUAGUAAGCUCAUGUAACAAGAGUUAUACUUACCUAAUAUUUUCAAUACAAUACUAUAAACUUUCAUAUAUCCAUUCAAUGCAUUAUUACCCUAACAUGCACAAACUCAACAUUCAAGUUAGUACAAUAAUUUCCAUGUACCAAUAAUAUAUACUAUGAUUGAUGAGCUCAUCAAUACCAUGAUUUCCAUUUCCUUAUAUAUAUAUAUAUAUUCAUAUUUGUCUCGUUUAAUUUCUUGGAAUUUUUGAUGGAUUUUUAGAGGUACACUUUUAGUGUACAUUUCCGAGUCCGUCAAUUCAUAUUCAUGUGCGCACAUUUCCAUUUCAGAGAGCACACUCUCACGAACCUCAUCCUUACAGCGGGAUUACCAGUCCAGGCUAAAUCCCCUGUAAUAUAAACUCAUAGAGUAUAGUCGGGAUUACCAGUCCAGGCUAAAUCCCCUACAACGACAAUCACUCUAAUGAGCUUGGAUCUGAAUUACCAGUCCAGGAUAAAUUCAGACCCUAAUUCGGAUUACCCGUCCGGGCUAAAUCCAUUUUCCACAUAUUCUUCGAGAGGGCUAUAUCAGGAUAGGAUCACCCGUCCGAGCUAGAUCCUUUUUACUGUCAAUUCCUUUUCAGAGAUCCAUCGAAUUUUCCUUUCAUUCAACCAGGAUUUCUUCCCCUUUUAUCAAAUAUGUCAAUGUUUCAUAAAUUUUCAUAUAAUGAACAUUCAAAUCAUAUUCAUAUCAAAAACAUACAUUUCAAGUAUUUAAGAAUAUCAAAAACUUACCUUGAUACUUGUUCAUGUACAAAAAUCUGCUAAUCCUGAACUUUUUCCUUUCCUCGAUUAGCUUCGUAUUUGAAUCUUCUAGAUCUAAAUAAAUAAAUUUGAUUAUCAAUUUAAUACAUUUCAUGUUCAUAUGCAACAAUUUCUAUAAUUUCAUUAUUAUUAUUUAUAGUUUAUUCAAAGCUGUCUAUUUGAGUCAUAGUCACUAAAUUAUUUAGAACUCGAGCUAUGAAACUCAAAAUUAAGAUCCGUUAAUUUUCCCUAAAACUAGACUUAUAUAUAUUUUUACCAUAAAAUUUUCAGAAUUUCUGGUUUAGCAAAUAAGUACAUUUUAUUCUUUAAAUUCACCCAUGUUCUGCUGUCUGACAGUUCUGACUGUCCUUCACUAAAAAUUAAUUAUCUAUUCAUAAAGAAUUCGGAUGAUGUUCUUGUUUGUUUCUCUUGAAAAUAGACUCAUUCAGGAUUAUAGAAAUAUAAAUUUAAGCCCCUAAUUAGUUUUAUUCAAUUUAUUAUGAUUUUUCAAAGUCAUAAAAUGGGAACUCAAAUUCAUUCUGACCUUGUCUCACAAGAUUCAUUAUAUUUCAUGAUUUACAGAUCCAUUGCUUACAUCGUUUCUUCUAUGAGAAACUAGACUCAAUAAGAUUUAAUUAUAUAUUUUUUUAAUCUUCUAAUUUGAUUAUUAAAUUUAUGGUGAUUUUUCAAAGUUAGUCUACCGCUGCUGUCCAAUAUUGUUUUAGUGCAAGCUGUUUAUUACCAUUUUUCCCUUAAGCUUUUAAUAAAUAACAAUUUCGUCCCUACUUAAUUAGCCUCUCAAUUGAGCUGAUUUUUCUCAAUUAACACUUUAUUCUAUCACCUUAAACUAGUUUACAACCUUUAGGAAUCAAAAUUUCAACAAUAGACUUUAAUUCCAAACAUAUUCACAAUUAGGUCCUAAACAUCAAUUUCUAUUGAAAUUACCUAAUAAAAUCAUCUCAUAAACAAAUUAAAGCUUUAAUUUCAUUCUAUUUCAUCAUAAAAUUACAGAACUCAACCAUGGUGACUUUCAAUUUCAUCCAUGAAAUCCAAAACUAAUGAAUUUAAUAGUAGGACCUAGUUGUAAAAGUCUUAGAAACACAAAAAUUACAAGAAAAAGGCAAGGAUUAACUCACUUGGUGAAAAAAUUAUGGAAUACCAGCUUAGAGAACCCUCCUAUGGCAUUUUUAGCUGCUAGAAUUGAAGAGAAAUGAAGAGAAAUCUAGAUAUUUCCUAUUUAGUCCUAGCUUUAUUUAGUUAAUUUUGCAAUAUUCCAAUUUUGCCCUUAAUUUAUCAAUUUUCCUCCUGAUUUCAUGCCCUUGCCGUCCAGCCCAAAUAAAAUUUGGGUCUAAUUGCCUUUUAAAUCCUCCCUCAUUAGACACUUAAGCUAUUUAAUCAUCCCAUCCACUUUUACACAUUUUAAAUUUAGUCCUUUUCAUUUAAUUAACUAUCCAAACAUUAAAAUUUCCUAACGAAAUUUUAAUACCAGAUUACUAACAUUUCAUAAAUAUUUAUGAAAUUAUUUUCAAUUCAAUCUUACGAGAUAGAGGUCCCGAUACCUUAUUUUACCCAAUUUCUUCAAUAAUUUCUUUUUCUAACUAACCACUAAAUCGAUAAAAAAAUUUAUCAAUAUUUUCAUACGAUUUUCCUAUCAUAUCAAUUUUCAUACAAAAAUAUUGAAAUAAAUUUCUCUUUAAAUCGGAUUUGUGGUUACAAAACCGCUAUUCCGAUAACCUUGAAUUUAGGCCAUUACAACUCUCCCCCCUUUUAGGAUUUUCGUCCUCGAAAAUCUUACCAGUAAAGAGGUUUGGGUAUUGUUUCCUCCUUGCCUCCUCCAGUCCCAUGUCGCUUCUUCAAUCCUGUGCUUUUGCCACAAUACUUUCACCAAAUUUAUCUUUUUAUUUCUAAGCAAUUUUGUCUCCCGUGCCAAUUCUUGACCGGUUCUUCACUGUAAGUCAUAUCCGGUUGAAUCUCCACUUCUGUCGGAGAAAUAACAUGUAAAGGAUAUGAUCGAUAUCGUCUUGACAUAGAUACAUGAAAAACAUUAUGGAUUCUAUCAAGUUCCAGUGGUAAUGCCAAUCGAUAAGCGAUCGGUCCAAUUUUUUCUAUGAUUUCAUAUGGCCCAAUAAAUCUUGGACUCAGUUUACCCUUUCGACCGAAUCGAAGAACUUUCUUCCAAGGAGACACUUUCAGGAAUACCUUCUCACCGACUUGAAAUUCAAUCUCUUUUCGUUUAAGGUCAGCAUAUAAUUUUUGAUGAUCGGAAGCUGCUUUUAGACUAUCCCGAAUAACCUUUACUUUUUCUUCUGUUUCCCGGAUCAAAUCAACCCCAUGUAUAUUCCUUUCACUGAGUUCUGUCUAAUAUAACGGUGUUCUACAUUUUCUACCAUACAAAGCUUCAUACGGAGUCAUUUUAAUACUGGAUUGAUAACUAUUAUUGUAAGAAAAUUCAAUCAAAGGUAGAUAUCUCUUCCAAUUACCUUCAAACUCUAGUAUACAACAUCGAAGCAUAUCUUCCAAUACUUGAAUUUCACGCUCAGAUUGACUAUCUGUCUAAGGAUGAAAUGAAGUGCUGAAAUACAACUGAGUACCCAACGCUUCUUGCAAAUUGUCCCAGAAACGAGACGUAAAUUGGAGAUCUCUAUCUGAUAUAAUGGAGACAGGCACUCUAUGUAGCCUAACAAUCUCAGAUAUAUAUAGUUCAGCUAGUUUAUCUAAAGAAUAAUCCAUACGUACCGGAAUAAAGUGCGCUGACUCUGUCAAUCAGUCAAUAAUCACCCAAAUAGCAUCUUUUUUCCUCGGAGACAAAGGUAACCCCGAUACAAAGUCCAUAGUGAUUCUUUCCCAUUUCCAUUCUAGUAUAGUAAUUGGCUGAAGUAACCCCGAAGGUACCUGAUGUUCAACUUUAACUUGCUGACAUAUUAAACACCUUGAUACAAAUUCAGAGAUAUCAUGUUUCAUUCCCGACCACCAGUACAUCUUUUUCAGAUCAUUAUACAUUUUAUUACUCCCCGGAUGUACAGACAUAGUAUCGCUGUGAGCGUUGCAUAGAAUCUUUUGUAUGAGCUCUAAAUUCUAAGGUACACAUACCCUACCUCUGAAUAAUAAACAACCAUCAGAAUCAAUCUGAAAUUCAGAAUCAUUACUUGACUCACACUGUACCCGUUUAACCUGUAACUUCUCAUCAUUCUUCUAGGCUUCACAUAUUUGCUGUAAAAAUGUUGGUUUAGCUCUCAAUUCAGCUAUAAUUGAACCAUCAUCAGUCAGUGACAAUUGGGUAUUCAUAGCUCAUAAAACAAACAGAGAUUUCCGGCUCAAAGCAUCAGCUACAACAUUAGCUUUACCCGGAUGGUAAUCAAUAAUCAAAUCAUAGUCCUUUAUCAGUUCAAGCCACCUGCGGUGUCUCAAAUUCAAAUAUUUCUAUGUCAUCAAAUAUUUCAAGCUUUUAUGAUCAGUAUAAAUAUGACAUUUCUCACCGAACAAGUAAUGCCGCCAUAUCUUCAAUGCAAAUACAAUAGUAGCUAAUUCAAUAUUAUGUACUGGGUAAUUUCUUUCAUGUGGUUUAAGUUGUCUUAAAGCAUAGUCUAUUACUUUACCUUCUUGCAUCAAGACAUAACCUAAACCAUUUAAUGAGGCAUCACUGUAAAUAACAAAUUCCUUACCCGGUUUAGGUUGCACUAAUACAGGUGCUUUCGUUAGUAGAUCUUUCAAUCGAUUGAAACUUUGCUGACAUUCAUCAGUCCACUCAAACUUUACAUCUUUCUACAAUAAUCGAGUUAUUGGAGAAGCUAUCAUAGAGAAUCCCUCUACAAAUCUCCGAUAAUAACCAGCUAAACCCAAGAAACUUCUAACUUCGGAUACAAUUUUCGGUGGACUCCAAUUAACAAUAGCUGAGAUUUUACUUGGAUCUACCCUAAUGCCUUCGGCAGAUAUAAUAUGUCCUAGAAAACCCACUUCUCGAAGCCAAAAUUCACAUUUACUAAAUUUAGCAUAUAACUGCUUCUCUCUCAGAAUUUGCAACACAAUUCUCAAAUGUUUUGCAUGUUCUUCUUCAUCCCAAGAAUAAACCAAAAUAUCAUCAAUGAAUACUACUACAAAUCUAUCUAAGUACGGUCUGAAUAUUCGGUUCAUCAAAUCCAUGAAUACUGCAGGUGCAUUAGUUAGCCCAAACGGCAUAACCAGAAACUCAUAAUGCCCGUACCUAGUUCUAAAGGUUGUUUUUGGCACGUCUGACUCCUUUACCCGUAACUGAUAAUAACCUGAUCGAAGAUCAAUCUUUGAAAACAUAGUAGCACCUUUCAGCUGAUCAAAUAAAUCAUCAAUCUGGGGUAACGGAUACUUAUUCUUUACGGUUACUUUAUUAAGCUGUCGGUAGUCGAUACACAAUCUCAAAGACCCGUCUUUCUUUUUCACAAACAGAACCGGAGCACCCAAGGUGAAUGACUCGGUCGGACAAAACCCCUGUCAACAAGUUCCACUUCUCUUUCUAGUGGCAACCCUGGUAAUUCCUCUGGAAACACAUCAAAAAAUUCACAUACUAUUGGCACUGCCUGUAUCCUUGACUUAGAUACCUUGGUGUCGAGUACAUAAGCCAAGUAAGCAUCAUACCCUUUUUUGACAUACCUCUGUGCUGCCAUUACUGAAAUCACAUUAGAUAACCCCUCUGUCUGAUCAGAUUUAACCCGGAGCAACUCACCAUUCUGACAUUUUAGCACAAUAUAUUUCUGUCUACAAUUUACUACUACAUUAUGCUGAGUUAACCAAUCCAUGCCCAAUAUCAUGUCAAAUUCAUCAAAUGGCAAUAACAUCAAAUCAGCCGGGAAACAAUAACCUUUUACCAUCAGUGGACAAUUUUUACAAAUUUUAUCCACCGAAACAAAUUGACCUAGGGGGUUCGAGACUUUAACCACAAAUUCAGUAGGUUCAAUAGAUAAAUUUUUAACAAUUGCAAGUUUAACACAUAUAUAUGAAUGUGUAGAACCAAGAUCAAUCAAUGCAGUAAUAUCAGUAUCAAGUAAAGAAAAUGUACCGGUAAUAACAUCGGGUGCUGAGGCAUCUUCUCUGGCACGGAUGGCAUAUAUCCUAGCAGGUGCUCGUGCUUCAAACCUGCCUGCAAUAUUUUUCAUAGCUCCUCGGCUACCACUGACAUUACCAGAUGGUCGAGGUGGUCUGCCCCUCGAAACUGGAUUACUUAGCUUCGAUUACUGCUUAUCUUCUUUUUUUACCUCUUUUUGGACAAUCUCUAAGGAAAUGGCCGAAAGAACCACAUCGGUAACAAGCCCCACUCUUAAAUCGGCAUUCACCAAAAUGAAUUUUAUUACAGUACUGACAUCUCGGCUUAGGGAUACCAACACUGCCAACACUGGUAACUGAUGGAGUGGAAGGUCUUGGAUUAGUGUGUUGAGAACCUCGCUCUCUACCCGAAUACCCAGUGGCUGAGGUAGAACAAUCCUGGUACUUCUUCAAUUUCUUUGGAGCAGAAAACUGGGAUUUUCCCAUCGGUCUUUUACUAAAAAUUCGAGCGUCUCUCUCAGCCUAUUUCUUUUCUUUGCUCAAUUCUUCUGCUUUAUAAGCUCUCUCUGCCAAUGUAGCAAACUCUCGAAUUUCAAGAAUUCCGAUCAGUAGCUUAAUGUCUUCAUUCAACCCUUCUUCGAAUCGUUUGCACAUUUCAGCUUCUGACUAUACCCAUUCUCAAGCAUAUUUACUCAAUCGAACAAAUUCUCUUUCAUACUCAAAUACUGAUCUGUUACCCUGUUUCAGCUCAAGAAAUUAUUUUCUCUUCUGAUCAAGAAACCUCUAGCUGAUAUAUUUCUUUCUAAACUCGGUCUGAAAGAAUUCCCAUGUAAUUUCUUCUUUUGGAACAAUUGAAGCCUUAGUAUUCCACCAAUGGUAAGCUAUGUCUUUUAGCAGUGAGACGGCACAUUUCAGACAUUCUUCUGGUGUACAAGAUAAUUCCUCCAAAACCCGAGUAGUGUUUUCUAACCAGAAUUCAGCCCGUUUGGAAUCAUCAUCAACUGCUACUCGAAAUUCUUCGGCCCCAUAUUUUUGAAUUUUAUCUACUGGAGCUUUUCCUUUUCUGACAGAUUCAGUACCUGUACCCUGUGGGAUCUCGGGAACCAGUGGAGGAGUAGGAGGAGGAGCUUGAACUUGCUGCACUACAGGGUUAGUUCUUAAGUAUUUAUUAAACCAUUCAUUCAUCAUUUGAAAGAAGGCUAGUUUUUCCUCUUCCCCUUGACCCUCAGAUACGGGCCUUGUACUACUAGUAACUUCGGCUUCCCUCUGUCCCCAUUUCUGAGCCAGAGAAUGACUCCCGGCUUCCACGAAUUGAGCUCGGUCAGUAGACAUUUACUAUAAGAAAAACACAUUUAAAUGGUCAGAAGAUAUCACACUAUCAAUAAUAAUUUAAAUGGCAUGCAUAGCUAAUCCCGUAUUUGCUAUAUCAGUCCUAGAAUCGGCUAAACCGUAGCUCUGAUACCACUAAAUGUAACACCCCCUACCCAUAUUCAUUAUCGGAAUAGCGUACAAGGUAUUAUCGGAGUUUAUGAUUUUUUUAUUCAAUAUAGCCCCUUUAUAAAUAUCUAACCUUCCCUGCAAUAUUAAAUCGAGACCAAUCCACAUCAACCAAACCAAUUCAGAUUAUUUUCAAGAAAAAUUCAUGCAUAUUUAUAAGAUAAAGUCAUCACAUACCCAAAACCAGGUUUAUUAACCAUACUAAUGGCUAACUUUACAUUCAUUUCACGUUAACAUUUACUUUAUUAGCUUAUACAUGCCAUUGAUUUCCAAAAUACAGUUUCUUUAUAUACUGAAAUCCUGAGGUUGAUAGUGUAUGUGUCUCCGACCAAAUCUGACCUCCGAGCUCUUAACACUACAAAAUAGAGGAAAAGGAAACAAGGUAAGCACUUGGUGCUUAGUAAGCUCAUGUAACAAGAAUUAUACUUACCUAAUAUUUUCAAUACAAUACAAUAAACUUUCAUAUAUCCAUUCAAUGCAUUAUUACCCUAACAUACACAAACUCAACAUUCAAGUUAGUACAAUAAUUUCCAUGUACCAAUAAUAUAUACUAUGAUUGAUGAGCUCAUCAAUACCAUGAUUUCCAUUUCCUUAUAUAUAUAUUUUUUUCAUAUUUGUCCCGUUGAAUUUCUUGGAAUUUUUUAUGGAUUUUCAGAGGUACCCUUUUAGUGUACAUUUCUGGGUCCGUCAAUUCAUAUUCAUGUGCGACAUUUCCAUUUCAGAGAGCACACUCCCACGAACUCAUCCUUACAGCGGGAUUACCAGUCUAGGCUAAAUCCCCUGUAAUAUAAACUCAUAGAGUAUUGUCGGGAUUACCAGUCCAGGCUAAAUCCCUUGCAACGACAAUUACUCUAAUGAGCUUGGAUCUGAAUUACCAGUCCAAGCUCAAUUCAGACUCUAAUUCGGAUUACCCGUCAGGGCUAAAUCCAGUUUCCACAUAUUCUUCGGGAGGGCUAUAUCAGGAUAGGAUCACCCGUCCGGGCUAGGUCUUUUUUACCGUCAAUUCCUUUUUAGAGAUCUAUCGAAUUUUCCUUUCAUUCAACCGAGAUUUCUUCCCCUUUUAUCAAAUAUGUCAAUGUUUCAUAAAUUUUCAUAUAAUGAACAUUCAAAUCAUAUUCAUAUAAAAAAACAUACAUUUCAAGUAUUUAAGAAUAUAAUUCAAGUUACAUGAACUUACCUUAAUACUUGUUCGUGUACAAAAAUCUACUAAUUUUGAACUUUUUCCUUUCCUCGAUCUAGCUUCGUAUUUGAAUCUUCUAGAUCUAAAUAAAUAAAUUUAAUUAUCAAUUUAAUACAUUUCAUGUUCAUAUGCAACAAUUUCUAUAAUUUCAUUAUUACUAUUUAUAGUUUAUUCAAAGCUGUCUAUUUGAGUCAUAGUCACUAAAUUAAGAUCCGUUAAUUUUACCUAAAACUAGACUCAUAUAUAUUCUUACCAUAAACUUUUUAGAGUUUUUGGUUUAGCCAAUAAGUACCGUUUAUUCUUUAAAGUCACCCCUGUUCUACUGUCUAAUAGUUCUGACCCUUCGUCACUAAAAAUUAAUUAUCUCUUCAUACAGAAUUUGGAUGAUGUUCCUGUUUGUUUCUCUUAAAAAUAGACCCAUUCAAAAUUCUAGACAUAUAAAUUUAAGCCCCUAGUUAUUUUUAUUCAAUUUUUAUGAUUUUUUAAAUUCAGAACAGGGGAACUCAAAUGCAUUCUAACCUUGUCUCACAAAAUUCAUUAUAUCUCAUGAUUUACAGAUCAAUUGCUUACAUCGUUUCUUCUAUGAGAAACUAGACUCAAUAAGAUUUCAUUAUUUAUUUUUUUAAUCUUCUAAUUUGAUUAUUAAAUUUAUGGUGAUUUUUCAAAGUUAUUCUACUGCUGCUGUCCAAUAUUGUUUUAGUGCAAGUUGUUUAUUACCAUUUUUCCGUUAAGCUUUUAAUAAAUAACAAUUUCAUCCCUACUAAAUUAGCCUUUCAAUUAAGCUAAUUUUUCUCAAUUAACACAUUAUUCUAUCACCUUAAACUAGUUUACAACCUUUAGGAAUCAAAAUUUCAGCAAUAGACUUUAAUUCCAAACAUUUUCACAAUUAGGUCCUAAAAAUCAAUUUCUAUUGAAAUUACCUAAUAAAAUCAUUUCAUAAAUAAAUUAAAGCUUUAAUUUCAUUCUAUUUCGUCAUAAAAUUAUAGAAAUCAACCAUGGUGACUAUCAAUUUCAUCCAUGAAAUCAAAAACUAAUGAAUUUAAUAGUAGGACCUAGUUGUAAAAGUCUUAGAAACACAAAAAUUUCAAGAAAAAGGUAAGGAUUAACUCACUUGGUGAAACAAUUAUGGAAUACCAGCUUAGAGAACCCUCCUAUGGCAUUUUUAGCUGCUAGAAUUGAAGAGAAAUGAAGAGAAAUCUAGAUAUUUCCUAUUUAGUCCUAGCUUUAUUUAGUUAAUUUUGCAAUAUUUCAAUUUUGCCCUUAAUUUACCAAUUUUCCUGCUGAUUUCAUGCCCUUGCCGUCCAUCCCAAAUAAAAUUUGGGUCUAAUUGCCUUUUAAAUCCUCUCUCAUUAGACACUUAAGCUAUUUAAUCAUCCCAUCCACUUUUACACCUUUUACAAUUUAGUCCUUUUCAUUUAAUUAACUAUCCAAACAUUAAAAUUUCCUAACGAAAUUCUAAUACCACAUUACUAACAUUUCAUAAAUAUUUAUAAAAUUAUUUUUGACUCGGUCUUACGAGAUAGAGCUCUCGAUACCUUAUUUUACCCAAUUUCUUCAAUAAUUUCUUUUUCUAACUAACCACUAAAUCGGUAAAUAAAUUUUAUCAAUAUUUUCAUACGAUUUUCCUAUCAUAUCAAUUUUCAUGCAAAAAUAUUGAAAUAAAUUUAUCUUUAAAUCAGAUUUGUGGUUACGAAACCACUAUUCCGAUAACCUUGAAUUUAGGCCAUUACAGAUUCUCAUAGUUCUCAUAUAAGAAAUUUCAUUAUCGUUGCCACCUCUUUUGUCAUUUUUCUUCUUUAUAGCAAAAUUGAAUCUAAUAUUUCAUUUGCCUUCACUGUAAUGAAAAUAAAAAACGAUAAUAAUGCUUUAAUUCAUUUGUUAUGUAUAUAUGGUUAUAAUCAGGUAAUCAUUUGUCCUUUAAAGCAAGUUGCUAAUUAAUAAAAAUUUAAUAGGAUAAAAUAUGCUCUAAGUAUCUGUAUUCUUAAUAUAUUUUCAAUUUAAUCCCUUUGCUUUUAUAUAUAGGAAUUCAAUCCAUUUUGACUAGAAAAAUAGUUUAGCAAUCCAUAAAAUAAAAUAAACACAAAAGUAAGAUAACACUAAGAGUGGUUCUCCCAGGGCAUUAACCCAAUAAUGUCUAUUUAUAAAGAAAAAAUCACAUAAUGGAAAAAAAUAAAGAAGUAACCUUGAUUAAAUAAAGUAUAAUUUUAGUAAAUUUUCGCGUCAAACUUUUAGGUUAUUUUUAACAUCUUCUUGGCAUUUCUUGGGCUCAAGUUGUGUAAUAACUUCAGUUAUAUCUUUCAAUUCACUUUAAAACAAUAUAUCAUGGGCCCAAAAUGAGUUCUUAGAUCAAGUUAUGGCCAAAAUACUGAUACAAUGUUGUGUUGAAAGUUUAAUUCGCAAAAACUUGCCAAAAAAUAGACUUUAACCUCUUUUGUAACACCCUUCACCCGUCUUCAUUACUAGAUUAGUGUUACAGGAUGCUACAAUAAAUAAUAGAAUAGGAUCAUGUUAUUUCAAUUUAAAACUUCUUUAGACAUUUAUCAAUUAUCAAACUUCAAGUUAAAACAUGUUAUUCAUACAAGAACAUGCUUAAAAUGAGCUUAAGAAAGCCCUAAAAAUAAUUUAGAACUAAGCAGGGACUAAUUUGAAACUUUUCAGAAAAGUGUGGAAAAAGUGCAAAACAUGUGUCACACAACCAUAUUAUAGGUUGAGGCCGUGUAGUGCAGGGUCACAUGUCAUGUCGCUAGGCUGUGUAACAAGUUGUGGUCGUGUGGACCUAAUUGUAAAAUCUUGAAAACAUUCACACAGCCAUGUAGCUAGGCCGUGUGAGACACUGAGAUUAUGUCUACCCAAAAUCACUCUGAUCAAAUAGAGCAUGUGGACGUGUCACUUGCUCGUGUGUGACACAGUGUCGAAUGUUAGCUAGUGUGUGCUAAAAUGUAACUUAUAAUGCAAGUCACAAACAUCAACUACUUACUUAAACCACAAGCAUGCCAUUAACUAUUCAAUAGACCUGUAUAAAUACACCAAAAUCAUACUAAAACAUAUUAAUUUCCUAAUUCUAACCAAUAUGUCAUAAGGCACCAUCACAGCCAAUAAUCACUACCUAUAUGUUUCCUAAUUCAUACCAAUUUUGAACAUAACUAAGCGAAUGCCAUAUAAAUCAUCAAAAGUGCCAAAAUUUCCAUUCUUUAUCCUUAAAUAUGUACCAAUAUAUAUUCAUCUCUACAAUAGGCACCAAAAGAAUCAAUGCACAUAACAUAUCCAUAACACCCAAAUCAAAUAUUAAAUCAUUAUGCCAUAUGUUCCAACCAACCUCACAUAUUCAAUCAAUUCAUAACAUAACUAAAUCAUGCCAACCAUUCAGAUGAAUCUCUCAUUUUUCCUAUACUUAACAACCAUAUUCAAAUUCACCAUUUCAAACCAUUACCAAGCAUAUCAAAAGGUUAUCUAACACACAUAUUAUGUGACACUCCAAACUCAACCAGGACGAAUCGGCACGAAUUCGAAGUGUUACAUUAGCUACCGAAGCGACUUUCCAGCUAACGACCACCCAACACAUACCCCAACCUUAUAACACCUUAUUUAUGACUAGUUAACUAUCACUUAUUAAUGCGGAAGCAAUUUGCGAACCAUUUGUAAAUUUUUUCUAAGUAUUUAAACCUAAGAGUAUUUUGGUCAUUUUACAACCUAAGGUUAAACUAUCCCGAUUAUUUUAUUUCUAAAUAGUUACCAACCUUCUUUUAGUCAAAUUAUGUAAGCCCUAAAAAUUUAAGCUUAAUUCGAGUUCAUUUACUAUGUCUAAUUCAAGUUUUAUUAUUAGGGGAUAAAUCAUAACUUUUACAAACUUUUAGUAUAUUUUCCAAAUUAAAAUUAAGGGUGUUUCUACCAAAUAUUACCAGUUGCAAGUCUAAUUCUAAAAUAUUACCAAGUUUCCCUAUCAUUAAAGGCUUAAAUUAAUCUAAUCAAGUUUUAGGACUCAAUUAUAAAUUAAGCAUAUUAGAAUACUAGAUUACAAAUACUAAAAAUUGAACCCCUAAAAACCUACAUGCCCGUGUGAAAAGACACAUGCCCGUGUGACCACUGCACCUAUUUUGUCAGAAAUUCGUUUAAUUACCCGAUUUUACAUAUUUUACUUACCCGUUAAACUUGAAAUAGCUACAAUUAAUUACCAUAAACAUCCACACAUCUCCAAUUUAAUUUAUUUACAACAAAUAUGCAGCAAUUAAUCAAAGUUUAACGCCCAAUUACACUCUUAGCAAACACCAAUUAAUUCACACAAGCUAAUACCUUAGUCGCAAGCAAUCCACUCCAUGGUAAACCUAAUUAAACAUUGUUAGUAUAAAAUACAUGCUUCAUACACCAUGUUAUCAACCACUGUACGAACACUCAUCAAUAUACAAUAAAUCAAACAUCAAUUAGACAUAAAAUCAUGUAUUAAAGCAAUUAUAAAAUCACCAAAGUUAAAGUCCAAAAUUUAAUGUCCAAUGUCCAUUACAAGUAAAAUAACACUAGCCCCUAAAGCAUCACAAUACCCCUAUAUAGUCUCUAAAGUAAAUUUCUUAAGCCACUACCGAGCCUUAUUCUUAGAUCGCCUUUGCAGUCACUUCUUGACUCCUUACAUCCAAAAAUUCUCUACACAAAAUAUGAGGGUGUGAGCUUAAAAAUCUCAGUGACUGAUAGUAAAAACAUCAAGUAAUUUGCAUCCAAUCAUGCUUAAAUUAAAGCAAUUAAGCAUUAAUUUUUCAGUCAGAACAAUUUAACAUUUCACCAUAAUAUCACAUGUUAUUUCACGAAUUAAGGAUCAAUUUUUCCAUGGCAUAUAAAGUCAUCUUUUAACACGUAAACAUUCAAUUAUAUUGGCAUAAUCGAUCAAUUAUAUUGGCAUAAUACAUCUGUGACAGCCCUAAAUUGACCCUAGUCGGAAAGUGGUUUCGGGACCACAAGACCCAAUCAUAAAAAUAAUUAACCAUUAUAUUUGAUGCUUAUUAUAUGUAUAUAGGCAUGUGUGAAAAUUUCAUGUUUGAAUUUUGUUAAUUGUAAGUGAAUUUUGCUAAAUAGGACUUGUGUGAGAAAAUUUAGAAAUGUGCUAGGCAAAUGUUAAAGUGGCCUAUUGAUGCAUGCUAGAAAAUGUUGUCCUUGCAUGUCAAAAUACCCAAAACUUGGGAUGGUGGCCGGCCAUGCUAUGGGUAAAAAGGUAUUAUAAACAUGUUAUGUUAGUGUUUCAUGGGAGGAAUGAUAAAAUAAGGAGCAUGGUAAUAAAAUAAUGAAAAGGAAAAUGAUGAAGAAAAAAAAAAGAAAAAGUUCUCAUGUUGUUCAACUUGGCCGAAUAGAAGAAAGAAAAAGAAGGGAAAGAGCUUGGAGAAAAUCGGCUAUGGUGGUUCACUAGACUAAGGUAUGUUGAUGUUGUUCCAUGAGAUUCAUGCAUGUUUUUAGUUGUUAGCUUGUGUUCUACCCAGCCCAUGGUUUAAAUCUUUGCUAUGAGAUGGAGAUGAUAUUCGGCCAUGGGUGUUGUCUUCUUGGUUGGUGUUUGAUGUUGUGGUGAUGAGGCAUGAAGAUGAGUUAAGUUUCGGCUAAGGUGGACUCGUGUUGAUGUCAUUUGCAUGCUAAGUGUGAAGCUUUGUAAUGAUACAUGUGAUGGUGAUUGAUGACUCUUGGAUUUUCUUUUUAGCAUUUUUAAGUUAGACAUUAAGUUCUUUGUUUAACCCAUGACCAAAAUUGAAAUGGUAUGGUGUCUUGAUGCAUUCGGCCAUGGUAGGAAGUAGAUGAGAAUUGGUAGUAAGGUGAAGUGCAAAUGUUAGUACUUUAUUACUAGUGUAUAUAUGUGUAUUAGCCGAGUUUUGAACUUGAAACAAAAUGGUACGUAGUCAAUACAAGUAAGCAUAUUUGUAGGAAGUAUUAAGCAUAUAUCGGCCUCAACAUAGACAUGCUUAUUCGGCCACAUGAGGUAGAUUGGUGUUGCAUGUAUUCGGUUAGAGGCAAGCAUAUUGAUGCUUUUAUCUUGGCUUAGAUAAUCGGCUAAAAGAGAGUGUGGGCUAAUAUGUUGAGUUGAUUCAUGAUUUCAUAUAUAUGUGACUCUAAUGUCUAAUGUAUAUGUGGGCUAAGUACCUUGAGUUUCUCUUUUUGAUGUUCAAAUGAUUAAAUCAAUUUAUUUGUUAAAUUAAGGUCAAGAGCAAAGGGGAACUAAAUCCGAUAAAGGGAAGGAAAAAGUGAUCGAAUAGCCGUCGAAAUUGUUCGACAACAUCCGAGGUAAGUUUUCAAGUAAUGAAACUUAGUUUACGAUUUGAUUAAGUCAUGACGUAUAAUCAUAACAAAUAUACGGUGAUAUAAUGAUUCUACUUGAAUUAUAUGUUGAGUUAAUUAGUCUAUACGUAUGAUGGGUAGCCGUAUGUGCAUAGAGAUCAUGUCAUAAAGCAAACCAAAUCAUGCUGUUUGUAUGUGGCUAUUGAGCUGAAAAUGGGAAUGCUUAAUAAUUGACUUGUGUUUGAAUUCUAGUUAUGAAAAUGAAAUAAAUGUGUCAUGAUUUACUGAUAUGUGCAUGAAUAUUCGGAUGAUAACGGGGCUAAGUCCCGAAGGCAUUUGUGCUAGUGACUAAUUCCGGGCUAAGUCCCGAAGGCAUUUGUGCGAGUUACUAUAUCCGGGCUAAGUCCCGAAGGCAUUUGUGCGAGUUAAUAUAUCCGGGCUAAGUCCCGAAGGCAUUUGUGUGAGUUACUAUAACCGGGCUAAGUCCCGAAGGCAUUUGUGCAAGUUACUAUAACCGGGCUAAGUCCCGAAGGCAUUUGAGCAAGUAGCUAUAUCCGGCUAAAUUCCGAAGGUACUUGGCUUGGGAAUGAGCGAUCUUGCUAUAAUAAUUUCAAUUAAUACGCUCGUAAAAUUCCAACGAUGAGGUACGUUUUGUAUAUGCAUUGGAGUAUUUGAUUCCUUUUAAAUAUUAUUCGCUCAGUCAAUUAAUGAGCUUCCGGCCUUUGGUUAAGUUGAUCCCUUAUGUGUGAAUAUAAGGGUUGGAAAUGUGAAGUAGGACUGAAUCUUGAGAAUAUGUGUAUAUGAAAUUGUCCGUUUAGUUAUAUGAAUGCUAUACUUCAGUUGUGCCUAAUUUCAUUGCUCAAAACUUACUAAGCAUUAAAUGCUUAUUCCGUUUCUUUGAUUCUCUGUUUUAUAGAUUUUGGUUCGUCAGCUAUCAGACUCGGGAUUGUCAAAGUCGAAGUCGUCCACACUAUCAAAGCCCUUUUGGUACUCUUUUAGUUGAACUCUGCUAAUGGCAUGUAUAGGACUGCCCUUGUGUUAUUAGUCAAGUACUUUGGUGUUGUAUAUAUUUGGAUAGCCAUGCGAAAAUGGCUUAUAUAUUUUGAGCAUAGUGUUAUAAUCAUUUUGUAUGUAUAUGGUUAUUGAGAGGUGUGGAUAUGCUUGGCAAUGAUUGGCCAUUGGAAUGGUUAAUCAUGAUCAUAUUUUGUGCUAUAUAUGCUAAAGGGCUAGUUGAAUCAUGGAAACUAUGAAAUAGGUAAAGUCUACCUUAAAGGCAGAUGCUGACAGCAGCAGUGAUGUAAAUUUGAAAAAUAACUAAAAAUAGUAGGAAAGUAAUUAAAUAGUGAAUAAAUUAUUUAAUCGAACCUUUAUGAAUCUACUUUCAUAUGGAAGAAACGAAACGAUCAUAUGAGUCGUAUUUUAAGAGAUAUUUAAGUUUUCGUGGAAUAGGGCCAGAGCAAUUUCUGGAUCCCCUGAUCUGACUUUGGAAAUUCACUAUAAAUUAACCAGAGAUAAUUAGAGGUCAUGCCAUAUAUGUAUAGAUUCCUUUUUGAGUCUAGUUUCGUUAGAAACAAAUAUCAUAAAUAUUGAAUCCCUGUACAGGGAGAUAUAUAAGUCGUAAUGCAUAAAGGUUAGAGCAGUCAAACCCUGAAACAGAGGAGACUUUAACUAAUAAACUGUACUAAUUGGCCUAAUUAAAAAUUCUUGAAAACAAUUUGUAGAUGGAUAUAUGAGUCUAGUUUCAGGGAAAGUUUAAGGAAUCAGUUUUCGAGCUUCGGAACUCGAGAUAUGAUUUUUAAAGUGACAGUGAUGCAAUUAGCCAGCUUGUCUGAAAAAAAAUGAACUGUGUAAGUCAUUGAAAUAAGUCCGUAAAUACCUCGUGUUCGACUCCGGCAACGGUCUCGGGUACGGGGUGUUACAACAUCCAUGGAAAUAAGUAAACGUGUGAUCAUAUAUUGGAUAAACAAAUCUCUGAACUCCCACAAAUCAAAUAUAGUCCUCCGAAUUGAGUGGGCCAAAGCCACAAGCUCUCUUAUAAUGCCUCAAAUAAUCUGAUUAGUGGAAACUCAAGCUCAAAACUCCCUUAUCUACUCCAAAAAAAUUAGUCCACCAAGAGCCAUAUACUCACAAUAUCCCAAAUAAUGGUAAGUAUUCACAAGUCCUAUUGCAUGUAAACUAUAUCCAACAGAUCUACCAUGAAAUGUUUCCAAUAUAAUCAUACAUACAAGGCAUAAAAUCUAUUAUUUAAUCACUUAAUUUAGGAUGUUUAAAUGCAAGUAAAAGCAUGUUGCUAAGCAAUUUUAAUAUCAAAAAAAUUAAGCAUAGCAAAUAUCAUUUUCCCAAUAUUCAUAUACCCAUUAGAACACCUUUAUCAAAUGUUUAAUAAAUUAGCAAUUCAUGCUUAAAAUAUCAAUUUAUUUCAUACAAUUUAAUCAUGUUAAAAGCAUAAUACACAACUUACCAAACCAAUUGCCAUUUUGCUCUUUUAUAAAAUAAAACCUAUUUCUGCAAAUCUAACCAUCCAAUAUGCAAUUAAGUCAUUAAUAAAACCAAUUAAACCUUUAAUUUAACAUAUAAUUAGGCCAAUUUACCAAAUUUCCAUUAAUGUCACUCACCUCUACACUUAGCUCUUUAAGCAAAAAUGUGUUCAAACAAGCAAGUUUGAGCUUCAAUUUUGAUUUGCAUGUUCCUCCUCUUGAUGUGGAGCUUUAACAGAGACAAAGUAUGCAUUACAAACUAACAAUAGCAAUAAGAAACAUGAAAUUUGAUGAAGUAUAAGAAUUUAAAUAAUUGCUCUAAACUACCUUAUCGAUGUUGCACAACUAAGUCGAAAUAUGGAAUUCCUGAACUAAACUCCCAUUUCAGCACCUCAAACCACUUCUAAUCUUCAUUCCUAGUCCAAUAACAUGUAUUCUAAGUGUUAAUUUCAUCAUUUAAUUUGUUUCUUUAUUUUUCAAAAAAAUCAUCCAUGUUCUUGAUCUAAUUUGAAUUUCUCAAAAUUGAUCCAUAAAACGUGUUUGAUCUUUUGGUUUAAGAUUAAAAACCUCUUAUUAGACCGAUUUUGAUCUUAGAAAUCCAUUAAUAUUCAAAUUCCAACUCAAAAUUAAAGAUCCACCAUUGUUGAUCCUCAAGUUUAAGAAAGAAGAAAUUAAAGUUGAAAAUCCAUUAUAAUCACUUUAAUUAGCAAAUAAUGAUUGAAAUCAACUUAAAAACAAGUUUAGAGAUGAGGAUUACCUUCAAUUGAACUCAAAUCAUUGAUUUGGAAAUUUGGAUCAAAAUGCUUGAAGAAAUUCGGAUGACUUUUUGCCCAACUAUGAAAAUUAUUUUGAGAUAUUUUAGAGAGAACUUUAGGAGAGAAAUGGUUUUGAUCUAUUCUCCGAUAUUUGGUUUAUGAAAACAAGAAAAAAAAAUAAAUGAAAAAGCUCUCAAUUCGGGUGAAAAAUGAGUGAAAAGUGAGGUAGUUGCAAAGUUUUUAAAACUAAAAACACCCACCUGAUUUUCAAAAUUUGGGGAAUUUGCCAUCAGGCCACUCCCCGUUUUCCUUAUUUUACAAUUUGCUCAUUUCCUUCCAAAAUUCUAAAAAUAUGGUUUAUUUUCUAUAAAAACUCUGACACAUUUCCCUUGUUUGUCAAAUUAGUCCUAUUUAAUUAAUAUUUUAAACCACCCAAUUAAACCCUCAUUUUAAAUUAUUUUUAAAUUCCAAUUUAACCCAAAAUAUUUAUUUUUACCCAAAAAUUAUUUAAAACCAUAAAAUUAAUUUUUCUAAAAAAAUUUUUAUUUUUCAAAACAUUGUUUACCGAUUUUUAGAUUAAAUUAAGCUAACUAAUUAAGAAUAUAAAUUUCUAAUUAAUUCGAUUAAUUCCUAAUUUUCACUCGGAAGCCGGUAAACUUACCCAAAACUACUAGAUCUAUUUUUGGGGCCGUACAAGUUACACUUUUCUUUUACAAAACAUUUAUAUAAAAUUUAACCCCUAGUACCUACCACAUGACCGGAAUAAACAAUUAAAAAUCUAUCAAAUAGAAGUUGGAUAAUGUAAGCUUCAAGCUUAUCCGAUCAUCGAGUUCCUCAAAAUGAUAACUACAAGAAAUAGGAAAAAGAAAUAGAGUAAGCUUCAAUUGAGAUUAGUAAGUUCAUAUGAAAAUUUAACUUAACAUACCUUAUCAUUAUAACAAUUUAAGUAUUUGAACUCAAAAACACAAAAUGACAUAUUCUUGGUAUCCCUACUCUUUCAUAUACAACUCCACAAAACAACCAAUAAGUUAGUAUUAAACAUAACAAGAUCAUAACCUUUGAAUACAUAUACAUGUAUAACCAAACUAUUUUACGUCAUACCAUUCAACCUUGCUCGGUGUGUAACAUAUCAAUAGAAUCCACCUACGAGACAUGUUCAUUUUGCAACGUGAUAAUGAAAUUCAUGUUCAAUCCUUCCAACCAUUUCAUGUUUCUUUAUUUAUCAUUUUCACCCAAAGAAAUAUAUUAAUUUAACUUCAGAUAUACAUAAUUACUUAGCUUCCAUGAGCUUUAGAGUUGAUUUAUUUAAACAAGCUUUAUUUGAUGCUGCUCACCCAAGUUGUCGAGUAUAUGUAACACGUGCAAGAUCUCAGUCAUCGAUAAAGUAUAAUGUGAUGCUGCUCACUCAAGCUGUCGAGAAGCUACAACACAUGCUGGAUCUGAUUCAUCACUAAAUAAUAAUCCAAGGUUGCUCACUCAAGUUGUCGAGAAUUCGCAAUUUAUGUUGGAUCUCAACUAUCACAGAUCUUUGUAUAAUAAUUUGAUGUUGCUCACCCAAGCUGUCAAGAAUCCACAAGUUAUGCUGGAUUUCAUCCAUCAAAUAAAUCUCUAAUCACGACUCCCAUUUUUCCUCUUUUGAACCCAAAUGACUUUUUCAUUCGUAUCUAAACCAUUUAUUAAAUUCAUACAGGUUUUUUACCAAUUCCAUAUCAUUUCAAAACCUUUUAUCCAUAUACACAUUUCACAUUUCGAAUGAUAGUUCUCUAUACAUUUUAAACUUGAAAAAUCAUCAUAUACAUGCUAUCCAAUCACAUACCAUUUCCACAUCCAUUCAAUGUUGUAACAGCUCAUUUUCAGCAAAAUCAAAACAGUGAUUUUAGGACCACAAAUUUGAUGAGUAAAUAUUUAUUUUAUUAUUAUUUUAAUUUGUUUUGGAAUACUAAUAAGGUUUUUAAAAAAAUCGUUAAGAAAUUUUAACGUUUGCAUCCUUAAUUAAGUAAAAAGGACUAAAUCGUAAAAGGUGCAAAAGCAAAGUUCUAGUAGUUAAAGGUAUCAAAUGGCUAUGAAGCUUUAAUGUGAAAGGACUUAGAUGGUAAUUAGAUCAUUAAUGAAUUUAGUGGAUGUAUAUGGCUAAGUAUUAAUGAAAUUUUGAUGUUAAAUGAAGGUUAAGUUAGUAAAUUAAUAAAUUAGUUAAAGUUAAAAUAAAAUAAACAAAAGCAUCAUCGUCCUAAGCGUUCAUCCAACAAAAUUUUGAAGGGAGAAAAUCCAUAGCUAAGGUUUCAUGGUUCGGUCACUUUGCUAGCUUGCAUGUAAGUGAAAUUUGUCUUAUUUUUUAAUGAUUUUUAUGUUUUUGAAAUCAUUGUAGCUUAAUCUAGCUAGCCUAGGGACUAAUUUGCAAAAAUAUUAAAGAAUUAGCAUUUUUCCAUGAACAUGUUUGCAUGAUUCUUGAAUUUUAAUGAAAUAUUAUGAGUCUUUGUUAAUAAAUAACCAAGUUUUGUAAAGUGAUUUUUUAUGAAAAUGUCAUUUAGGGAUUUAUUUGUAAAAGUAGUAAACUAUCAUGCUUAAAUUGUGAAAUGAUGUUUUGUAUGAGUUGAUAUGGGUUCAUAAUAAAUUCAGCUAGCAUGAGUUAAGGAUGAAAAUGCUUAUAUUUCAAUUUGUUAGUUUAAAGACUAAAUUGUAAAAAGGUUAAAAUGUUAGGGACAAAAUUGUAAUUAUGUAUAUAUGUGGAUUAUGGAUUGAAUUAAAUGUUUGAGAUUGAUUGAAACAUUUAAUUGAAUAUAAUUAUUUAUUUAGAUCAAGAUAAAUCUUAAUCGAAUUUAAACCAGGAAAAGGUGAAAAUUACGGAUUAGCUCGAUUGUAAUUUUACGCUCUAGUUGUUAAUGUAAGUUCAUAGUAAUUCUAUACAUAAAUGAACUUUUACUUGCAUGUUUACAAUAUAGUUAUGUAAUUAAUUGCUUAUACUUAAUUAUUCUUUGAAUUUCACAUACAUGCCCUUGUUUGUACUUUGAUACCCCUGAAUUGCACAUAUGUGCCCCUGUUUCUACUUUGAUACCACUGAACUGCACAUAUAUGCCCCUGUUUGUACUUUGAUACCCCUGAAUUGAACAUACGUGCCCUUAUUUGUACUUCGGUACCCCUGAAUAGCACCUACUUGCCCCUGUUUACACUCCGGCAACAUUGAAUCGAGUAAAAUAUGAGUUGUAUUCAAUUUUUGUCAAGUUUAGUGAUAAACUAUGCUCUUACUAAGCUUUAAAAGCUUAUUCAUUUUUUUGGUGAAUUAUUUUGUAGAUUGUUUUUGCUUACAUUUGGACGGAUCGAAUCUACGAAUCACACUAUCAUUUGAUGUUGGUAGUUCUUGUAUUCCUUAGGGUCGUGGCUAUAUAGGUUAUUUUGGUACAAUAUGACAAUAUACUAACCAAGUUGAUAGGCAUCUUUUUGCAUAGUUAAAAUGGUAUGAAAUUGCACACUUGUGAAAUGUUUUGGUUUAUGAGUAAAUUAAGUGUUAUGAUAGAAAUGGAUCAAUGUUUAUAUGUUUUAAAUGUUAAUGUUGAAUUUAACUAUAGUGUCUAUGAAGGCACAUUGGUUGGUUGUUUUUAGGUCAUUAAAAUGGUAUGUUAUGUCAUGUUAAGUUGCUUGUGAUCUCAAUUGUGGUAUGCUUCAAGAUGAUAUUAAAUUGGUAGUGUAUGUUUUUAGUGUAGUGAUGCAUAUGUUUAAGUAAGGUUGUUUGUUUCUAAUUGAGGUUCCUUACAUGUCAUAUUGGUUGAAUGAAUAUUGGUCAUUUGAACUAGUCAUUUUAAGCAUGUUUUGGUAUGUUUUUAAUGCCUUGGUCAUAAGGGUAAAUUGCUUAUAGGUACACUUUUGGCUUGGUGAUGGAAAUGGCUUGAUUUUGGCUAAUUUCUUAUCUACACGGCCUAAGACACGAGCGUGUGUCUCAGCCGUGUGUCCCCUGUAGGUUUUAAAGGUUGCAAGUUAGGAAAUUACACGGCCUAGCACAUGGCCUGACACAUGGGUGUGUGGCUUGGCCAUGUGACCCUACUUAGAGAGUUACUCAAGCACAAACAUGGGCUGAGACACGGCCGUGUGUCCCUAUUUCGAUUGUUACACGGCCUACACGGGCGUGUGUCACACGGCCGUGUGACCCCUACAGUUUAAUUUUUUCUAACUUUUUUGUCAAUAUUUCAAAUGUUUCUGAUUUAGUCCCAAUUCAUUUCUAAAGUGUUUCUAAUGUCUCGAGGGCCCAAUUAAGGGAUGAUAUGCACGUAUAUGAAUGGAUUAUGUUAUGUUUUUAUUAAUGCUUGGAAAUGUAUGGUUUUUAUGUUUCAUUUAUACGGUAAUGCUUUGUAACCCUAUUCUGAUGAUGAAUACGGAUUAGGGGUGUUACAUUUAAUGGUAACAGAGCUACGAUUUAAUCGAUUCUAGGAUUAACAUAGCGAAGUAUGUAACACCCCCAUGCCCGAGACCAUCACCGGAGUCGAGCUUGAGGGGUUACCGAACAUAAUUUAUCAAUUUAAGAACUUCAAAUCAUUUGUUUCUACAUUCACAGCUUUCUAGCUACUCGCGUCACAGUUACAAGAAAAAUCAUAACUCGAGUUAUGAAACUCAAAAUCAAGAUCCGUAAAUUUUCCCUAAAUCUAGACUCAUAUAUCUAUUUACUAAUUGUUUUCUAGAAUUUUUGGUUUGGUCCAAUUAGUACAGUUUAUUAGUUAAAUUCUCCCCUAUUUCAGGGUUCGACUACUCUGACAUAUGUGUAUUACGAAUCAGAUAUCUCUCUAUACAGAAAUUAAAUGACUACAAGGUUUGUUUUUAUUAAAACUAGACUCAAUAAGAAAUCUGUAAAUAUAAAUAACAACUUCUAAUUAUUUUUUUAAAAUUUAGUAUGAAUUUUUAAAGUCAGAAAAGGGGAUCCAAAAAUCACUCUGGCCCUGUUUCACAAAAGUUUAAAUAUCUCAUAAAAUAUAACUUAUAUGCCUGUUUUGUUCAAUCCACAUGAAAAUAGACUCAUUAAGCUUAAAUUUCAUAACUUACUCAUUAUUUAGUUCUAUUUAUACUAUUUUUAGUGAUUUUUCAAAUUCAUGUCAUUGCUGCAGCAAUAUUCUGUUUUAAGGCAAGUUUCAUCUUUCCAUGAAUUUUUAUGAACUAGAUAACCUAUUAAACUUCCAUAAUAUCAAACAUGAUCUAAAUUUAACCAUCACCAUGACUUAUCAAUAUCAAACAUUUUCUCAACCAAUCAUGGCUAUAUCAUAAAAUUAUUUACACAAAAUAGGUAUAUUGCUAUACAUGCCAUACUUAAGUUUUACAAGCCAUUUACCCAGAUGAAAGUCCUUUAGAUAGUGUGAUCGAACCUUUGACCCGUCCCGAUUCCCGAGCUGGCUUGUUCAAAACUACAGUAAAUAAAGAGGAGGGAGUAAGCAUAAAUGCUUAGUAAGUUCAUAUGUAAAUAACAAGUAACAUAACAAUACAAAUAUACCAAACAACUUUAGCACGGUAUCACCAAAACAUAUGUCAUAUUUCUAAAUAUCAUUCAUCAUCUUACCACCUUAUCGUUGUUGUAUCUAUUAUCAACCCGAGGAUUAAGAACAUACCUGUCCAAAGUGUCCAUUUCACAACACUUACCAAUACGUCGCUUGCAUCUUAAGUGUUCUUUCAUUUCACUAGAAAUUUCUCCCGUUGAACACAUUGGACUACAACUCGGAUACACGGAUAAUUUGCACAUAAGUGCCUCAUAUGUAAUCAAGAAAUCAUGUAAUCCGCCCCUAAUUGAACUCGGACUCAACUCAACGAGCUUGGGCGUUCGCAUCCAUAAGUGAACUCGGACUCAACUCAACGAGUUCGGAUGCCUAGUUACAUUUCACGAACUCGGACUCAACUCAAUGAGUUCGGAUGCUCAACCAUCCUAGUGACAUGUCACUUGUAUCCUAAUCUAUUCCUAAGGUUCAAACAGGAUUUUCCUCGAACACAUAUCCUUGCCAUCUUCCGUAAAAUACCAAAACCAAUACUCGGUAGUACUUUAUAUUUAACAAUUAAUACACAUAAUUUGCAUUUUAUUCGAAAAUAGCCACAAAGCAUAUAUUUCAUAAUAAAAAUCAGCAUAUCAUAUAAUUAACAUCAAUAACUUAAAAAUAACAAUUAUGCUACAUUAUUUACACAUGAACUUACCUUGGUACCAAAAUAUAAAGAUUUUGCAAUUUAGUCCACAAUCUUUUCUCUUCCUCGAUCACGACUUGAAUCUCGUUUCUCUUGAUCUAUAAUGCCAAAUUAAUCUUAUUUAAUACAUACAUUCAUCAAAACAGCAUUUAAUAUGAACUUUGGAAAAAUUACACUUUUGCCCUUAAACUUUUGCAUAAUUACACUUUUGCCCCUAGGCUCGGGAAUUAAACUUUAUUCCUUAUUCUUAUGUUUUAUAACAUUCUGAUCAUUUUUCCCUUCUAUGGCAACAUCAAAUACUUACUCUAACAUAUACUUGUGACUAUUAGGUAUUUUUGCCGAUUAAGCCCUUUUACUCAUUUUCACUCAAAACCGAGUAUCACAAGUUGCCUAACAUAAUUUAAAACCCCAUAUUCUAUCAUAAAACAUCAAAAUACACAAAUUUCACCUAUGGGUAUUUUUCCAAAUAUAAACCCUAGGUUGAAUUAUUGCUAACAUAAGCUUAAUCGAGCUAUCGGGAUUCCAAAAACGUAAAGAACAUUAAAAACGGGGCUUGGAAUCACUUACUAUAGAGCUUGGAAGCUUGAAACAAACCCUAACUAUGGAGAACCCUUGAAAUUUCGGCCUAAUGAAGAAGAUGGACAAAAUUUGGCUUUUAAUUUUGUUUUUAAUUCAUUUUAAUAACUAAAUGACCAAAAUGCCCUUACUAGUAAACUUUCCAAAAAUUCCAUCCAUGUCCAAUUUUUGUCCAUAGACUUAGAAAUUGGUAAAAUUCUAUUUAAGACCUCCUAAUUAAUAUUUCAAUGCAAUUUCAUACUAAAAACUUCUAGAAUGCAAAUUUUGCAACUUAUUCGAUUUAGUCCCUACUUUCAAUUUAAGCAUUUUAGGCAUAGAAUUUCAUCACGAAAUUUUCACACAAUCAUGCAAUCAUAUCAUAUUCAUCAAAAUAAUUAUAAAAUAAUUAUUUCUAUCUCGAAUUUGUGAUCACGAAACCACUAUUCCGAUUAAGCCCUAACUCAGGAUAUUACAACUCUCCCCCUCUUUUAAGGAUUUUCGUCCUCGAAAAUCUUACCGGUAAAUAGGUGUGGGUAUUGGUUUUUCAUAGUUUCUUCAGGUUCCCAUGUAGUCUCUUCUACCCCAUUCUUUUGCUUUCUUAGUUGUUUGACUUCUCGAGCUAAAAUCUUAAUCGAUUCUUCUUCAUAAGUCAUAUCCGAUCGUAGUUCAACUUCUGUCGGUGAAAUUAUAUGUGAAGGAUCCGAACGAUACCGGCGUAACAUAGAUACGUGAAACACAUCAUGAAUCUUCUCUAAUUCGGGUGGUAACGCUAGCCGAUAUGCUACCGGUCCAACUUUUUCAAUUAUUUCAUACGGUCUAAUAAAACGCGGACUUAACUUGCCCUUUCGUCCAAAUCUAAGGACUUUCUUCCAUGGAGACACUUUCAAAAAUACCUUAUCACCAACUUGAAACUCCAUUUCUUUUCGUUUCAAAUCUACAUAAGAUUUCUAUCUAUCUGAAGUAGCUUUCAAACAAUCUCGAAUCACUUUCACCUUUUCUUCGGUUUCUUUUAUUAAAUCAACUCCAUAAAUCUGAUUUUCCUUGAGUUCAGUCCAAUACAAUGGUGUCCGACAUUUAUGACCAUAUAAUGCUUCAUAAGGUGCCAUCUUCAAACUCGUCUGAUAACUAUUAUUAUAAGCAAAUUCUACCAAUGGUAAGUACCUUUCCCAACUAUCUUGAAAUUCCAAUACGCAACAUCUGAGCAUGUCUUCAAGAAUCAGAAUUACUCUCUCUGAUUGUCCAUCAGUUUGUGGAUGAAAGGCAGUGCUGAAAUUUAACUUUGUACCUAAUGCCUCUUGCAACUUUUGCCAAAACCGUGAGGUAAACCUCGGAUCUCUAUCCGAAAUGAUUGACAAAGGUAUCCCAUGAAGUCUAACAAUCUCUCGGAUAUACAAUUCAGCCAACUUAUUAAGAGAAUAAUCUGUACGUACCGGAAUAAAAUGAGUCGAUUUAGUCAGUCUGUCAACUAUUACCCAGAUGGCAUUUUUCUUCCUUGGAGUUAACGGCAACCCUGAUAUAAAAUCCAUAGUAAUCCUAUCCCAUUUCCAUUCAGGAACCAUAAUAGGCUGAAGUAAUCGCGAAGGUACUUGGUGUUCAGCUUUCACUUGUUGACAAACUAAGCACUUUGAUACAAACUCGGAAAUAUCUCUUUUCAUUCCACUCCACCAGUACAUUUUCUUUAAGUCAUUAUACAUCUUCGUACUGCCCGGAUGAACCGCCAAACAACUAUUAUGUGCUUCAUGCAAAAUCUUUUGAAUCAACUCAUCAUUUUUCGGUACACAAAUCCGAUUUUUAAACAUCAAACAACCAUCAGAACUGAUUCUAAAAUCUGAUCCCGUAUCAGCUUCACACUGUUUUCUUUUGGCUAGCAAAUCUUGAUCAUUUUUUUGAGCUUCAGAAAUCUCUUGUAAAAACAUCGGUCUUGCUCUUAACUCUGCUAGAAUCGAACCGUCAUCUGAAAUUUUCAACUAAGCGUUCAUAACUCUCAAAGCAAACAACAACUUUCUGCUUAAAGCAUCGGCAACCACAUUCGCUUUUCCCGGAUGAUAAUCAAUAACAAGCUCGUAAUCUUUCAAUAACUCUAACCAUCUUUGCUGUCUCAAAUUCAAGCCUUUUUGUGACAUCAAGUAUUUAAGACUUUUGUGAUCGGUAUAUACUCGGCACUUUUCACCAUACAAAUAAUGUCGCCAAAUCUUCAAAGCAAACACCACUGCAGCCAAUUCCAAAUCGUAAGUAGGAUAAUUCCUCUCAUGAGGUUUUAACUGCCUCGAAGCAUAUGCCACCACUUUUCCUUCUUGCAUGAGUACACACCCCAAACCAUUUAGAGAAGCAUCACUAUACACCACAAAUUCUUUACCUGAUUUGGGUUGUAUCAACACUGGUGCUUCAGUUAAUAACUUUUUCAAUUCUUUGAAACUCUGUUGGCAUUCUUCCGUCCAUUCAAAUUUAACAUCCUUUCGGAGUAGUCUAGUCAUAGGAGCAGCAAUUAUAGAAAAUUCAUUUACAAACCGCCGAUAAUACCCAGCUAGCCCCAAGAAACUCCUAACUUCAGUUACAUUUUUCGGUGGUUUCCAAUCAACAAUGGCUGAAAUUUUACUAGGAUCAACCCGUAUACCAUCACCUGAAACAAUAUGACCCAAAAAUCAAACUUCCUGGAGCCAAAAUUCACUUUUACUAAACUUAGCAUACAGUUGCUUAUCUCUCAAAGUUUGCAAAACUAUCCUCAAAUGCUCAGCAUGCUCUGUCUCAUCUUUUGAAUAAAUUAAAAUAUCAUCUAUAAACACCACAACAAAUCUGUCCGGGUAUGGCCGAAAUAUGCGAUUCAUUAAGUCCAUAAACAUAGCAGGAGCAUUUGUCAACCCGAAUGGCAUAACUAAAAAUUCAUAAUGACCGUACCUUGUUCUAAAAGUUGUUUUAGGCACAUCUGACUCUUUAACUCGCAGUUGAUAAUACCCAGAUCUCAAGUCAAUCUUUGAAAACCAUGUCGCUCCUUUUAGCUGAUCAAACAAAUCAUCAAUUCUCGACAAUGGAUACUUGUUUUUGAUUGUCACCUUGUUUAACUGUCGAUAAUCAACACAUAAUUUCAUAGAACCAUCCUUCUUUUUCACAAAUAACAGGAGAGCGCCCCAAGGUGAAAAACUUGGUCUCACAAAGCCUUUAUCAGUCAACUCUUGCAACUGCGACUUUAAUUCUUUCAACUCUGUUGGUGCCAUUCUAUAUGGAGCAAUCGAGAUUGGAGUUGUUCCCGGUAUCAAAUUUAUACCAAAUUCUACUUCCCUGACUGGAGGCAAACCUGACAAUUCUUCUAGAAAUACAUCCGCAAAUUCACACACAACCGGCAUUGAUUCAACUUUCUUUUCAACUUCUUUUGUAUUAAUUACAUACGCCAAAUAAGCUUCAUAACCCUUUCUCAAAUAUCUCUGAUCCGACAUCAAAGAAAUCAUACUAAAUAUUACCUCUGAUUUGUCUGGUUCAACCCGCAAGAUUUCACCACUUUCACAUUUUAAUUCUAUAACCUUUUCUUUGCAAUUUACUAUAGCAUCAUGCAAUGUCAACCAAUCCAUACCCAAAAUAACAUCAAAUUCAUCAAACGGAAACAACAUCAAGUCGGCCGGAAAGUAAUGACCCCGAAUCAUUAAAGGGCAUUUCUUGCAUACUUUAUCAACUAUCAUGCAUUUGCCUAACGGGUUCGACACUCUAAUCAUAAAUUCUGUGUUCUCAACAGGUAUAUUCAUACUAGACACCAGUUUCAUGCAUACAUAUGAAUGAGUAGAACCGGGAUCAAUCAAAGCAAUAACAAUAGUAUCAUAAAGAGAAAAUGUACCGGUAAUCACAUCGGGUGAGGAAGCAUCUUCACGCGCUUUAAUAGCAUAAGUUCUAGCCGGAGCUCUUCCUUCAGAUCUAACUGCUGCAUCUCUGGCUACAUUCUUACUGCUUGUUUCACUUCCAGCUUUUCUCGGAUGCCUUCCCCUCAUGUCUACACCACUAACUUUUACAUUCUGAAAAUUUUCUUUCUCAGCUCUCUCUGGGCAGUCUCUAAUAAAAUGAUCCGGAGAACCACAUCGAAAACAUUCAUUUGCUCUGCACGGACCAAAAUGAUUUCUACCACACCGCUGGCACUCAAGUUUAAAAAAUCUUGUAUUUCCCACACUAGCCGCAGAAGUAGUCUGAGAUUUAGGACCCACAUUUCGCUUCUUAAAAUUUCCAUAUGAUUGCCCAGCUGAAACUUGGGAACGAGGAUUCAUAUUUCUUGACUUUCCGGUUUACUGUGAGGGUGCAUUACUCAUUGGUCUUUUCUUCCAAUUUCGUGUUUUAGAUUCUACCUUUUUCUUUUCCUUCAGUAGUUCUUCAGCCUUGCAAGCUCGAUCGACAAGUACCACCAUUUCUUUUAGUUCAAGGAUCCUAACAAAUACCUUAAUGUCUUCGUUAAGUCCAUCUUCAAAUCGUCGGCACACCUUGGCUUCUGUAGGAACAUAUUCCCUGGCAUACUUACUCAAUCGAACAAACUCUCUUUCAUAAUCUGAGACUGUCAUAUUACCUUGCUUCAGCUCAAGAAACUCUUUACAUUUCUGAUCAAUAAAUUUUUCACUAAUAUAUUUCUUUCGAAACUCUUCUUGAAAGAAUUCCCAGGUUACCCUCUCUUUCGGCACCACCGAAAUCAAAGUCUUCCACCAAUUAUAGGCUGAAUCUCUCAACAAAGAUGUAUUACAUUUCAAACAUUCUUCAGGUGUACAAGAUAAUUCAUCAAAUACCCGGAUAGAAUUUUCAAGCCAGAACUCUGCUUUCUCUGCAUCAUCAUCAAUAUUUGCUCUAAAUUCUUCAGCCCCUUGUUUACGAAUUCUAUCAACGGGGGUUCUGUGAAAUUUUAUCAUAUCCACUCCUUGAGGCAUUGGAGGCAUAGGUUGAGGAAUUGGGGGAGAUGGGGGAGGUCGUACAUUUGGGUUCGUACGAACGAACUCAGUGUACCAUGCACUCAUCAUUUGGAGAAAGGCUUCCCGAUCCCUUUCUCCUCCUCCCUGCCAACAGUAGGGGGUUGGUUUUCAGUCGGCGCUGCCCCUUCAGCCAGAGCUGGCGCAUUACUCUCUACUUCAUCUGCCACAGCAGGAUCGGGAUCCAUUUACUAUAUAAAAAUCAUUUAAAAAGGUCAGAAGUCGUCACACUAUCACAAUUCAUACAUAUGGCAUGUAUAGCAAAAUCCGUACAUACAACAAGUAGUCCAAGAACCGACUAAACCUGCUCUGAUACCACCAAAUGUAACGCCCCCACGCCCGAGACCAUCACUGGAGUCAAGCUUGAGGGGUUACCGAACAUAAUUUAUCAAUUUAAGAACUUCAAAUCAUUUGUUUCUACAUUCACAACUUUCUAGCUACUCGCGUCACAAUUACAAGAAAAAUCAUAACCCGAGUUAUGAAACUCAAAAUCAAGAUCCGUAAAUUUUCCCUAAAUCUAGACUCAUAUAUCUAUUUACUAAUUUUUUUCUAGAAUUUUUGGUUUGGUCCAAUUAGUACAGUUUAUUAGUUAAAAUCUCCCCUAUUUUAGGGUUCGACUGCUCUGACAUAUGUGUAUUACAAAUCAGAUAUCUCUCUAUACAGAAAUUCAAUGACUACAAGGUUUGUUUUUAUUAAAACUAGACUCAAUAAGAAAUCUGUAAAUAUAAAUAACAACUUCUAAUUAUUUUUUUAAAAUUUAUUAUGAAUUUUUAACGUCAGAAAAGGGGAUCCAGAAAUCACUCUGGCCCUGUUUCACAAAAGUUUAAAUAUCUCAUAAAAUAUAACUUAUAUGCCUGUUUUGUUCAAUCCACUUGAAAAUAGACUCAUUGAGCUUAAAUUUCAUAACUUACUCAUUAUUUAGUUCCAUUUAUACUAUUUUUAGUGAUUUUUCAAAUUCAUGUCAUUGCUGCAACAAUAUUCUGUUUUAAAGCAAGUUUCAUCUUUCCAUGAAUUUUUAUGAACUAGAUAACCUAUUAAACUUCCAUAAUAUCAAACAUGAUCUAAAUUUAACCAUCACCAUGACUUAUCAAUAUCAAACAUUUUCUCAACCAAUCAUGGCUAUAUCAUAAAAUUAUUUACACAAAAUAGGUAUAUUGCUAUACAUGCCAUACUUAAGUUUUACAAGCCAUUUACCCAGAUGAAAGUCCUUUAGAUAGUGUGAUCGAACCUUCGACCCGUCCCGAUUCCCGAGCUGGCUUGUUCAAAACUACAGUAAAUAAAGAGGAGGGAGUAAGCAUAAAUGCUUAGUAAGUUCAUAUGUAAAUAACAAGUAACAUAACAAUACAAAUAUACCAAACAACUUUAGCACGGUAUCACCGAAACAUAUGUCAUAUUUCUAAACAUCAUUCAUCAUCUUACCACCUUAUCGUUGUUGUAUCUAUUAUCAACCCGAGGGUUAAGAACAUACCUGUCCAAAGUGUCCAUUUCACAACACUUACCAAUACGUCGCUUGCAUCUUAAGUGUUCUUUCAUUUCACUAGAAAUUUCACUCGUUGAACACAUCGGAAUACAACUCGGAUACACGGAUAAUUUGCACAUAAGUGCCUCAUAUGUAAUCAAGAAAUCAUGUAACCCGCCCCUAAUUGAACUCGGACUCAACUCAACGAGCUCAGGCGUUCGCAUCCAUAAGUGAACUCGGACUCAACUCAACGAGUUCGGAUGCCUAGUUACAUUUCACGAACUCGGACUCAACUCAACGAGUUCAGAUGCUCAACCAUCCUAGUGACAUGUCACUUGUAUCCUAAUCUAUUCCUAAGGUUCAAACGGGAUUUUCCUCGAACACAUAUCCUUGCCAUCUUCCGUAAAAUACCAAAACCAAUACUCGGUAGUACUUUAUAUUUAACAAUUAAUACACAUAAUUUGCAUUUUAUUCGAAAAUAGCCACAAAGCAUAUAUUUCAUAAUAAAAAUCAGCAUAUCAUAUAAUUAACAUCAAUAACUUAAAAAUAACAAUUAUGCUACAUUAUUUACACAUGAACUUACCUUGGUACCAAAAUAUAAAGAUUUUGCAAUUUAGUCCACAAUCUUUUCUCUUCCUCGAUCACGACUUGAAUCUCGUUUCUCUUGAUCUAUAAUGCCAAAUUAAUCUUAUUUAAUACAUACAUUCAUCAAAACAGCAUUUAAUACGAACUUUGGAAAAAUUACACUUUUGCCCUUAAACUUUUGCAUAAUUACACUUUUGCCCCUAGGCUCGAGAAUUAAACUUUAUUCCUUAUUCUUAUGUUUUAUAACAUGCUGAUCAUUUUUCCCUUCUAUGGCAACAUCAAAUUCUUACUCUAACAUAUACUUGUGACUAUUAGGUAUUUUUGCCGAUUAAGCCCUUUUACUCGUUUUCACUCAAAACCGAGUAUCACAAGUUGCCUAACAUAAUUUAAAACCCCAUAUUCUAUCAUAAAACAUCAAAAUACACAAAUUUCACCUAUGGGUAAUUUUCCAAAUAUAAACCCUAGGUUGAAUUAUUGUUAACAUAAGCUUAAUCGAGCUAUCGGGAUUCCAAAAACGUAAAGAACAUUAAAAACGGGGCUUGGAAUCACUUACUAUAGAGCUUGGAAGCUUGAAACAAACCCUAACUAUGGAUAACCCUUGAAAUUUCGGCCUAAUGAAGAAGAUGGACAAAAUUUGGCUUUUAAUUUUGUUUUUAAUUCAUUUUAAUAACUAAAUGACCAAAAUGCCCUUACUAGUAAACUUUUCAAAAAUUCCAUCCAUGUCCAAUUUUUGUCCAUAGACUUAGAAAUUGGUCAAAUUCUAUUUAAGACCUCCUAAUUAAUAUUUCAAUGCAAUUUCAUACUAAAAACUUCUAGAAUGCAAAUUUUGCAACUUAUUCGAUUUAGUCCCUACUUUCAAUUUAAGCACUUUAGGCAUAGAAUUUCAUCACGAAAUUUUCACACAAUCAUGCAAUCAUAUCAUAUUCAUCAAAAUAAUUAUAAAAUAAUUAUUUCUAUCUCGAAUUUGUGAUCACGAAACCACUAUUCCGAUUAAGCCCUAAUUCAGGAUAUUACAAAGUAAGACUUAGAAUAUACAUCCCACAUAUACCUUGUGAUAGUGUGAUGCUUUUGAUUCGUUCUAACAUUUUGUUUCUUAUAGAUUCAAGAUGUCAGCUGAAUCAAAUCGAGCUAUAGUUAAUGAAAUUGAAAGUAAUGUUCAAGCUUUGAAUCCUGAGGCAAGCAAUAGUGCGUCUAUUCCCCAAUCUGUGGGUGAUGAGAUGAAAAAUGUAUUUCUUGGAAUGAUGAACCAAUGGUUCAACAAAUUUAAACAAGCAUAUCUUGCAACUCUACCACCUCUACCCUAUGUUGUGUCUUCUUCGACACCCUUGAAUACUCUAAACCUUGUACCUGUAAUGGUUACCCGGGUAUCUGUAAAAAAAAUUGGAAAUGUGGAAUAGAAGAGCUCGGAUGUGCGGUAGAUGAUGAUCCUUCAAAAGCUGAGUAUUGGUUAUUGAACACAAAGAGAGUUUUUACGAAGUUAUUGUGCACCCCUAAAGAUUGCUUCAGGAGUGUAGUGUCCUUACUAAAAGAUGAGGCGUAUCUAUGGUGGGAUACUUUAUGCUCGAUAGUAUCGAAUGAUCGGGUUAAUUAGACUUCUUUCAGCAUGAAUUCGAGAAAAAAGUAUGUUAAUCGAUUGUUCAUUGAUCGAAAAAAGAAAGUUUCUCGAGUUAAAACAAGAAAAUCAAACUGUAGCUAAGUAUGAAUGUGAGUUUGUGCAGUUAAGUAAGUAUGCUCAUAACAUUGUAUCAAAUGAGGAGGGAAUUUGUAUCAAAUUUGAAGAUGGUUUGAAUGAUGAGAUCCAUAUGCUUGUAACAGCAUUAAAGUUACCAGAAUUUGUAGAACUUUCAGAGCAGGCUCAGAAGGUUGAAGAGAUUUGUAAAAGCAAAUGACAUUCAAAUUUGAGAUUUCGAGAUUAUAACAAGAGAAGGUCAUUUAAGCCUGCUUAAACACCUUUGUAGGCAUAUUGUAUUGCAUUCAAAACACCAUUGGGGAUGUCACCUUUUAAGCUGGUUUGUGGGAAGCUUUGUCAUCUACCCGUUGAGCUGGAACAUAAAACAUUUUGGGCUAUUAAAAAGUUGAACAUAGAUUGGAUCACUAGUCGACAGAAAUGAUUAUUAGAGCUAAAUGAAAUGGAUAAAUUCUAAGCUCAGGCAUACGAGAAUGCUCAACUGUGUGAAGAAAAGACCAAGCAUUGGCAUGACAAAAGGAUUAUGCCACGACAAUUUGAACCCAGACAACAAGUGUUGUUAUUCAACUCUAUGCUCAAAUUGUUUCAGGGAAAAUUAAAAUCUCGUUGGUUAGGACCUUUUGAAGUAGCCCACGUAUAUCCUUGUGGAGCUGUGGAUGUUAAAGAUGUUUAGAUUGGGCUCACAUUUAACAUCAAUGGGCAACGCUUAAAGCAUUACUGGGGUGUUCUUGUGACUCGAGAUAAAUAGUCCAUUGAUCUCCGAGAUGUUUAACUUCAGCGUCUCGAUGAUUUUAUUUUUGUUUUUAGUUUUGUCUAUUUUUAGUUUCUCUUAGCUAUUUCAUUUACUUCGUUUAAUAAAUUUUAUUUUGUAUUGCAAAUAUUUGCAUGGUAAUAAGGGUUCGGGCCCUACAUUGCUCUUUGGCCCAUCGGCAGUUAUUUCCUAAAUAUUUGGCCUUCCAAAUAUUUUUUUUAUUUUUUUCCUUUUCCCUUCAAUUUCAAUCACACCACAAUCAAGCCAUCAUUAUUGCCCAUCCACUCGCCCAUUUCACCCCAUUAUUUUACUACUGUGUUAUUUUUCUUUUACCCUAAUCGUUUCAUCUUCUUUUACAGUUAACCUAAGUUUUCUUUUUCUCCAAAUUUACUUAUAUUUCUUUUACUCUUGCAAGUUUUCACCUUUUUCGUUUACCAUUUACUCUACCUUCUCCUAAUGGCCAGAUGUUUUACUCUGUAACCAUCUGCUCUGCCACCACACACAUUUUCAACCAAGAAGUGGAAGAUCAGUACACGCAUAAUAUCUCGAAGUUUCCUUUCUGCUUGGAAAAAAGCUUUCUUUUUCAAGAUAAGACCUUUCUGGAUCUAUUUCUUUUGUGGUACAACAACAUGGAUGGAAGAUUUUCUGUUUGCAUCUAAAUGAUGUUUUGACAAAGGUGGUUCAUGAGUUUUAUACUCAUCUUACUUCUCCCAACAAUGUUUUUAUUCAUAUGUGAAGAGCAUCAAUGUUAUUUGAUGAAUAUUCCAUUCAUGUUCAGUACGGCUUAUCUAAUGUUCAAGAUGAACAAACUCAGUUUGCUGCUACAAUCACUACGGAUGGUCUGAAUAAGUUCUUCAAGACUUGUGUGUAACAGGUUGUAACACCCCAAACUCGGCCCAGACGUUAUGACCGGAUCCGACAUGCCACAUCGAAGCGUUCAAAAUAUUUUCUAUUGUUGAUCCAGAAAAAACUUACUUAGUGUUUUAAAAGAUAAUUUCAUUAUAGGUUAAAGUGAAUGGAAGCUGUGCACCAGGUAGGAAACCGGAAAAGAGGUGGUGAGUCCAUCGGACUGCUUAAGUACCAAGCUCCCUUCGGAUCCAAUCCUAGACAUGCAUACCGCCAUUGCCACACCUUAAUGUCAUGGAUAUUUCUAGGAAACUGAUUUGAUUAAGUCAUUUUUAGGAAAAGUGAUUAAUUUUGGAAAAUACUUUCAUUGCGGAAGCUUUGUUUGUUGUCGUGUUAUUUUGAAAUCAAUUGUUGUUUUGAAAACGCGCCCUAAAGCUAUCCAAUUUCAACAGUUAAAAUAAGUAAUACCUAUCUUAGUAAUACAUAUUAAAACCAUCAAAAAUAAUUAAGCGGCCUUAUUACAUUUAAAAACCCAAAACUUCAAACGUAAAUAAAAGGAUGUCCAAUUCACCAGAAGAAAAUCAAACUUUCAGAACGGGUGGCCACUCCGAAUUCCCUCACAACUCCAAGCCCACUAUGGUUGGGGAUUUCCUGCGUGGAUGAAAAUAAAAGGGGUGAGAUUGGGGAAACUCAGUGUGUAAGGAAAACCCAUUCAAAGCCCAAGUCAGCUCAAGCCUAUUGGGCCUAAGCCUAUUCAGGUAACAGUGGUACUGGACCAGAGCCCUUUUCAGAUUACAAUAAACUGGGCCUUAGCCCCUUAAUCAGAUAACAGUAUGGCCCAUAGGCCCAUUUCAAAAUACAUGAAACAUCAAUAACAUAUGCAAGCCCAUUUGGGGAGACUACUCAACCCACCAACCACUACACUCCACCCGUACCAGCCCUACACUCCAUGUGGGGAAUAGCUCAACCCACCCAGCCCAACACUCCACAGUUGCAGCCUUGCUGCUUAGUUAACAGUAAAUUGAGGCAAAGCCUCCAGUACGUGGACAAGCCACUUUCAGUACUUCCUCCGUCAAUAUCUCAAUCCCAUGCAUCAGAUAAUAACAACAUGGCAUGCAGUAAAUAACAACAGUCAAACAUGCAUUUAGGUCAAUUUAACCAUAGGGGUAUUUCGGUAAUUUAUCUACUAGGGGUAAAACUGUAAAUUUUCCACUUUUAAAGGUAUUUCAGUAAUUUAUCUAUUUUAGGGUUUUUCAUGCAUAUUCCUACCUUUCACUUACUAACAGAAUUACGUACCGAGGGUUCUUACUGAAUUGGGCCCGUUGGCCCAUCAUUCCAAUUUUGGCCCAUUAAGCCCAAAAAUAUCGAGGGCACAGAAAUCAUGCACUUUGCAGUCCAAAUUUUACAGCUUACCAAAAACAUUAAUUGAUUUACCUCACGAGCAUUCGCACACUCACAAAUCUACAAAAUACUGAUUUUUGGCAUUUCGGCUUUUCGACUUUUGCCGAUCCAGACUAAGAAAGAGGGUGUUAGUUACACACCUGUUUGCGACGAUAUGCUGACGAGAUCCACACACGAACCGCCUACAAUUGGAUUACUAACAUGUUAAUCUAACUAUUCAAAUACAAACUACGUAUUAACCCCUUACAAUAUUCGGCCAACCACACCUACAGAUCAUAGUAAGCUUAUAAGAAAACAAUAAGCAACUCAUUAAUAAAUUUUUGUCAAUGUUUACCACAUAAUCAUAAUUUCACUGCAAGCUGUCUUCCUGAACAACAGUCACUAAAUCAUUUAUAACUGGAGCUACGAAACUCCAAAUCAAGUUCUGUUAAUUUUACCUGAAAAUAGACUCAUAUAUCUUCUAUCCAUAAAAUUUUCAGAAUUUUUUGUUUAGCCCAUCAAUACCAGAUUUUUCUCAAAGUUUCCCAUGUUUCACUGUUUGACUAAUCUGACCACUCUUCAUUACGAAUCAAAUUUCUCAUUGUAUAGAAUUCAAAAUAUGUUCUAGUUUAUUCCAUUUGAAAAUAGACUCAUUAAGAUUUAAUUACAUAAUUUAUGCAGCUUCUAACUCAUCUCCCACAAUUUAUGGUGAUUUUCCAAAGUCACAUUACUGCUGCUGUCCCAAGCAGAUUUAUUACCAAAUCACUCUUUCACACCUAACUUGCAUGCUUGUUAUUUAAACAUGUAUAUCACCAAUCAAUCAUCACAUAUCUAUGAUUUUACUUAAGUAUAAUCUCCAUUUCAUCAUUUUAAAGAACAACAUGUUAGCUGAUUUUUCCCUUUAACAUCUAAGGCACAUGCAUGCUCAUUUGUUUGGCUCAACUUCACCUAUCUUCCAUUUUCCAUCAAAAGAACAUGAAACAACAACCAUUUCCUUCAUUUUAAUUCAUGACUAAAUGCUCACAACGCAACUAAAAACCAAAAUAUGCUUCAAGAGUUAAGGCGGAAUCAAGAUGAACUCAUGAACCUCAAAAUAAGAAGCAAGGUACCAAGAACUUACCUUCAAUUUUCCUCCUCCUAAUGACCGAAUACUCAAGAGCUUUCUCCUCUCCUUUCUCUUCUCUAACUUUC
rnacentral:lncRNA from 1 species